GGGGUUUCUCCGCGGCAUCGCAGCCUCCGGACCGCCUGAAUCCUGCUCCCUCUGAAUCGUCGGCGCCGGGUUAAAGCUCAGUUCUCAUGUUGUGGUUGCUGGGCUGCCGCGCUCCCGUUUUGCGAUGGGAGGUGGAGGAAAAGGGAUUGUCCGUGAGUCAACACCGAAAACGUGAUUAGGAUGAACUGGUUUCACUAAUCUGUUUCUAACCUUUCAGUCCAUGUUGGCCUGUGACCCCUCUCAGCUUUCACAUCCAGCCCGAUCAGACCACAACACUGGUCUCCCUAUGGAAGCAACUGUUUGUAUCUGGCUUUGAGGUCCCAUGGAGAAGCUGAGGAGGGGGAUGGCUCUUCACAUCCAUGAAGCCUGGAUACUUCUGUUUGUGCUCCCUGGUUUGGUCACUCCAGCUGCCAUCAACCAUGAAGAUUACCCCGCUGACGAAGGGGACCAGACCUCCAGUAAUGACAAUCUGAUCUUUGAUGAUUACCGGGGGAAGGGCUGUGUGGAUGACAGUGGCUUUGUGUACAAACUGGGAGAACGUUUUUUCCCAGGACAUUCCAACUGUCCCUGUGUCUGUACUGAGGAUGGACCUGUUUGUGAUCAACCAGAAUGCCCUAAAAUCCACCCAAAGUGCACAAAAGUGGAACACAAUGGAUGCUGUCCAGAAUGCAAAGAAGUGAAAAACUUUUGUGAAUAUCAUGGGAAAAAUUACAAAAUCUUGGAGGAAUUUAAGCCCUCGCCAUGCGAAUGGUGUCGCUGCGAGCCCAGCAAUGAAGUUCACUGUGUUGUAGCAGACUGCGCAGUCCCCGAGUGUGUCAACCCGGUCUAUGAGCCAGAGCAGUGUUGUCCUGUCUGCAAAAAUGAAAUUCCUGAAAUGGCCAGAUUUUAAGAUUGCACUUAAACCCCCUUCAGUCCCAGUCUAUGCAAUGUGCUGGUUGGUUGUGCAGAUGCAAGGGAAUGUGCCCAGCCAAGGAGAAGAAGUGAGUGCUCCCCACGCCGGAUUUUGCUGGACUCCACCAUCCUCUCCCCAGGUGCUGGCAGCUGAAGGCAGUAGCAUAGCACAGCCCCUUCACCCUGCAUGGUUGGGAAUGGGAUGGCAGCCAACCUUUGGGGCACUUGGUCACCCCCACGGCCACCACCCCCGUCAAGUGUCAGCCCGAGGGGCCACGGGAAGGACCGGACGAUGCUCUUUGGGAUGGCCAGCAGGAGUGUGAACUGUGGAGCCCUCUGAGCUCAGCUGAAGCAGUGAUUUGAUUACCAGCAGAGGAAAUAAAGGAUUGAUUUGAAAGCUGGUAGAAGAUCAAGACUGAAAAUGAAGAGGUGUAUUUGAGCCAGGCAGACACCAACCUGACAAAAUACUCCAGUGCUUGCUUUACUGUUCCUUAAGAAGUCAUUUCUCUGAAACUGAUUUUCAGUGGAGCUCGUCCAUCUGAUCACUUCGGGCCAAGGGGUUAAAGGCAUGUAGGUGCUGAACUUGACACAAAAGCAUCUGUCAAGACCUAGAUCCUCCACUGCCUUGGAAAUCUCCAGCACUUGGAUCCUCCAGAUGCUCAAAUGCCCUGCUGACUCAAGAUGGGUCACAGCUUUUGGAAGAGGCCUCUGUAACAGUGAAAACUGGAAAAGUUGAAACCUCCAAAAUUAGCCAUGCUGAUGUUAGACAGCAUCAGGGAGGGCUGAGUUGAAUCUGUAACACUGAAAACUUUGGAAAAGUUGAAACCUCCAAAAUUAGCCAUGCUGAUGUUAGACAGCAUAGGGAGGGCUGAGUUGAAUCUGCCACCUUGUGAAGUUUCAGAGGAAGUGAGACUGAGAGCGACAAGGGAGAGGAAAAGCCUUUAGAGAACAAAAAAGCCCUGAACUGAGCAGCACUUAAUGUGAUUAAAGCCAUCCCAGAGCUCAGUGCUCACACAAAGCCGGGCUGCUGGGCUGUGCAGUGGCAGGGAUGCUGCUGGAAAAGCUCCAUUCCCAGGGAGCUGCAGCCUGGAGCCAGCAGGACAGCGGCCCCUGAACCUGGUGUGUUCACCUGCACAGGUCACCUGCUGCUUCCCAAGCCUCUGUGCUCUCUGCCCUGCAAGCAAGAAAGGGAUCAUUCACCAAUUAAACAGGCAGGAAAAGGCUCUGCCUGGCUGCUGCAGGCCAGGCAGGAGCUGAAAGCUGCUGGCCUGAAUUGACACCCCAGGUCCCGACCAUGCUCCUGUGCUUCCACCACAGCAGAGUGCAGAUGAAUGUAACAGCACCCUGAAGGGAGGAUCAUGGAAGGGUCAGGGAGGAUCAUGAGGAGCCAUUUGUGGGACAGGAGCAGCUCCAAAGCGCUCUUUCAGCUCUCACAGAUGUGGGAAACACGUUACCUGCUCUGCAUUACUCCUCAGACUCAGAAAUAUUUAUGAAGAAGCUUUUGCUCAUCAUGGUUGUCCCCCCUUGGGGAGAUGUUGCUGAAGUUUGUGUGCACUGGCCUGUGAGAGUGCUAGUUCAAGGUUCACUAUCACCAUGAUUGUGUCUUGUAGAGAAGGGCUGGGUUAGGGGUUUUGGAGGGGAGGGAAGGGUUCCUACAUUCCAGCUGGGAAGCCAGGUUCCUUUGCAGAACACAAGGAGCCUGGGCAGUACUGAAAUUAAAGCAGGCAUUGUGUUGCUGUUCCCCACCUGGUUCUCGGUGUGACUUUAAAAUACCAGAAGUGACUUUAUGAUCCAAUGACACUGCUGUAAACCACUUUGCUGCAAGAGAAGCUGAAAGCCAAAUCCUGUGUCCGUGUCACUUGGUGUAAAACAGCAUUUUUUACUCUGACUUACUCCAGCUGAGGAUCUGACCUGCUGGUACCUCUGGGUGGCUCAGAGGCACACUGCAGGAGGCUGGGGUGUUUUGCAUGGCCAGGGUUCUGAAAGGAUUAGAGAGGCUUUGCUUUGGCUGGCCAGAAGGUUGGGGUUGUGAGGCAUGUCUGUGUGAGAAGAGUGGCAGACACUGUCUUCGUGUAUUUCUCAUUUGAUGAAUGUUUAAUGCUUCUUUAUUGGAGCCUACACAUAUGUAGAGUAGAGGUCUUUAAGAAGGGGUUGACUUAUUUCAAAUAAUUUAUGUCUGAGCUGCUCCUUUUACAUGAAAUGCAGACUUUACAGAGCAAAGAGACUGAAAUGAAAAUAUGAAUUAAAGAUUAGAGCUAAGCAAGUCUGAGAACACUUAGAAUUAAGAAAGGCUUACAAGUUUUCUCCUCCUGCUUCCUUUCCUUCCCUCCACCUUUCCUACAACUCCAUCCCCUCUCCUUUGGCAGGGUGCUGCAUUCCAGGGCAGCCUUGUGUCCCUCCCACAGGGCACAGCAGGGCACACAGUUACUGUGUGGCCAUACACUACCCCAGCCUGUCACCUGCCAACUCACACAUCCCUUUGGCUGCAGAGACUAAAAGGGGGUUGAAGGUGUGUUUCUCUUCAUCUCUCUCCCUGAUUUGCUGGUGAAGUGCCUCACCUGGACAGAACAAAAAGGAGUGCAUUUUGCCAGAGGGACCCUCCAUUUGCAGCUCAGCCAGGUCCCAACUGCUUUGCGGGCACCACCAUCAUUCCCGCGGGCAUUGAGGUGAAGGUGGACGACUGCAACAUCUGCCACUGCCACAA